rnacentral:ncRNA from 2 species
CAUUUGAGCCAGUUUCUUGGUUUUCGUCCGGCCCAAAGCCGGCUGAAAUUAAAAGGGAAUUUGGUGAAAACCCAAAACAGUUCCCGCUGCUGUAAGUUCUGUAACAGCUUUUAACCAGUGCCACUGUCGUAAUCCCCAAUCGGAUGGGAAGGCGUUAAGAGUAGAACGAGUCAGAAGACCUGCCAACAAACUAUGUUUAUC